rnacentral:rRNA from 1 species
UACGUAGGGUGCGAGCGUUAAUCGGAAUUACUGGGCGUAAAGCGUGCGCAGGCGGUUCGUUGUGUCCGUCGUGAAAGCCACCGGGCUUAACCUGGGAACUGCGAUGGAAACUAGCGAGCUGGAGUGUGGCAGAGGGGGGUGGAAUUCCGCGUGUAGCAGUGAAAUGCGUAGAGAUGCGGAGGAACACCGAUGGCGAAGGCAGCCCCCCUGGGCUAACACUGACGCUCAGGCACGAAAGCGUGGGGAGCAAACAGG